rnacentral:misc_RNA from 1 species
UUAGGAAUACUAAACAAACUCAAAUUAGAAAAAAAAAAAUAAUAAAUUUAAUAAAAUUUCUAAAUAAUAGAAUUCUAAACUUCCUAAUUAAUAGAAUCUAAAGUUCCUAAUUUCACAUUGAAAAAUCAAAUUAUUCCAGAAGUAUCACCUUCCUAUGCUGCAUCACCUAAUUUAUAACAUGGGUUAUUUCUUAGACCCAAUACCUAAUGGCUUUCACUUCAAUUCUUUAUUAGAUUAUAACUUUCAUACAAUAUAUAAUCAGGAAAUUUAUUUAAAAAUUUAGUGCGAACUAUUGGAGAAAUAGUAGUGUUAUUGCAAGGGUCAUUUUUGUAAAUGCUUGAGUUCUAAAUUUUUCACGACACUAAACUGACCCAAUUACCCCUUUUUUUUUUUUGAAAUGAAACUCCAAGUUUACAUCAUGGUACAAAAAAUGGUUUAUUUCCAUAUAAAUUUCGUUCAGUCUUCUUAAAAUAAUGGCACCUCAUGCCAUUGUUGAUGCUGAACACCAGAAUUUAAACUUCAAAGAUUGUAUUUAUUGUCAUAAUUAUGAAUUUUAUGUUUGUAAUUUGUAUGUGGGCUCUUGUUCACAUAAAAGAUACGGAAAUUAGUCAUUCUCUAGAGAAUUGCUAAUUGAACUUUCUAUGGUGUAUGAUAGAACAUGAGCCUCUUGGCUUUGGGCCCUUUUUCAUCUCCAUCGACAUGUAAUUCUUGGUUUAUUUAUAUAUGUAGAGGCAAUGUCCAUCUAUUACUUUCUUCUCAUAUUAUUGUUGCAAUCAUAAAUGAUAGUAUGAUAAGAACCUAUUUAGCUUAUAAAGAUUGUACAAUUUCGAUGAGGAAUAGCCUUAUGCUCAUUUCAUGAGCUUUCUUCCUUUUUUUUUUCCCCCUUAAACUGAAUUUCAUCACUAUGGAAAUUGACAAUGUUUCUUGUAUUGAUAAAUACAAUAUGUGAACAAACAUGUAGGUGCAUAACAUAAAUACAUAGCUAUUAGUCUACCGUUCACCACUGAUAAUCCUUGACCAUCGGCAACCACCACUGAUCGCCAGUGUUUGGUGGCUGCCACAAUUUACCAUUUAAUGUAUUUGUUUCUUGUAUGCCACAAUUUACCAUUUUAUGUAUUUGUUUCUUGUAUUCAAUAAUAAACAAUAAAAAGAAGUUUUUAUCAUCGAUACAUUUUAUAGUAUUUAAACUAAAAGAAAAUUAACAUUUGCCAAUACACUCCUAACACUGGAAAUUAACUUCCCUUCAUUCUUUAGCAUUGCAAUCAAAUAAUGGAAAAUAAGUUAUUUUUGUCCGAAAAUAUUUUCCAAUAUUUUCAUUAGAUAAGUUUUUUUACACAAAACAAACAGAUUGUUGGUAUAAUAAUUUUUUUUUAAACAAUCUUUUUGAAGAUAAAUGAUUUCUUUGAUUUCUUUUUUCAUUAUAAUGGACAAGAUUGUAGUGAUAUUUAAUUCAAUCCUUAAUUUUUUAUUUAUGUUUUUGCUAAUCGUUUAAAAAAUUCACGAAAUCUUUGGAGUUAUUCUGUCUGUUUCAUGCUGAUUCAAUCUAGUUGUGUUGCAUUCUAAAACAUUUUCAAUUCAGUUAUUUAAAACCCUGCUGAGAUGUGGCUAGACAUUUACAGUACGUCUCCAUGUUCCUUGACCACUCAAAUUCCUCCCAUUGCAUGUUGCUUAAGUGCUUAGUUGACAGCUAAUAAGUUUUUCUUCCCCCAUUAAUAAUGAAUCUGUUAUUAAACUAAGCAAGCUCAAAGAUAUCUUGUUUUUCAGGUUCUGGGCAUACUAAUG